rnacentral:rRNA from 1 species
GACGUAGGGGGCAAGCGUUGUCCGGAUUCAUUAGGCGUAAAGAGCUCGUAGGCGGUUCGGCAAGUCGGGUGUGAAAACUCCAGGCUCAACCUGGAGACGCCACCCGAUACUGCUGUGACUCGAGUCCGGUAGGGGACCACGGAAUUCCUGGUGUAGCGGUGAAAUGCGCAGAUAUCAGGAGGAACACCGGUGGCGAAGGCGGUGGUCUGGGCCGGAACUGACGCUGAGGAGCGAAAGCGUGGGGAGCGAACAGG